CCUGCUCUAGCUUGGAGCCUGGUACAGCCUUGCUCUAGCUUGGAGCCUGGUACAGCCCUGCUCCCAGUCAAGGACAGACCAAUAUUCUGUGUUUGACAAGUCAGAUCUCAUGCUCAUGGCCACCAAACUUAUUUGCAGUGGGUUUUAGAUCAGGAGGAGUUCAUACAUAUAGGGAGUUUCACAGAACUGAGGAGAAAUACUGCUAGAUAAUUAUAAAAACUGCUGACCGGUUUAUAAACAUGUGCACACAACAUGCAGUUGUAUAGCAAGUGUAAAGCGUUCGUAAAUUACCAACGAACAAGCAGCUUUUUGCAGAAUUCUAGAGUUAAGGAAGUUUUGUGUCAGGAGCAAAAUACAAAAAUACAAACUGACAAAGAAAUCAGCCAACAGCAGCGAGACUAACAGUAAAGCUAUUUAUACAAACUACUGAAUAAUACUGAAUAAUUUCCUUAAUAUAAAAGGACAAGAAUACUACGUAUCCAGCAUUAAUGUAGCUUUGGCAAGGUCCAUUGCCUAUUUGGCUUAGGUGGGAAGAAAUACAGUUUGACCAUGCCACCCAAACAGAAUAUUUGCCAAAAUGAAAUCAGAGCAGUGGUCCUAUACAUAGAACUAUAUUGUAAACGUAGAUUAAACUUUUUAAUGAACCCUACAUACACUAUUUGCAUGGCUUGACAUGUACCCAUGGAAGCAAAGCAGGGUUCAGAUCCAAAAAGGCUCAGUUUGGGGUUUUAUACUGGACUAAUAGGUCAGGAAUAAGACUCAUGUACAUUCACCUGUAUUUACGCAGAGGGACACCCUAAAGACUUGAAUUACUGGGGGGAUCCUGAUGGCUGGCUUUAAGGCCUAAAUGACCUGUGUCACACAGAAACUGUGGGUUUGCAAGCUAAAGCACAAUACACUCUCCCUCCUCACCUUGUAGUGUAACUGACAUAUUUCACCUUCUUUUCUAUUCAACCUCCUUAGAGGAAAAUAACCUUGACUUUAUUCCCUCUUUCUAGAUCUCCCUGUGUGUGUGUGUGUCUCAGAACACAAAGCACUGUUGUUAAUGUACAGAAAACCCCACUUUACACUGGAUGUGUGUCUGCAUUCGUACGCGUCCCGUCACAUCAUCCCUAUAAACGUUAACCUUUUUUGCUGCUGGUGCACACAGCAGAAUACGCUGUUUGCUUAUCCCCGCCUUUCCACCCCACCCAUUUUGUACAAAUGUUAAAAAAACAAAUGAAAAAGAAAAAAAAAGAGAAAUAAAAAUGUGAAAAAAACACCAAUACCAUAAAUCGAAAAUUGACGUCUUAAUGUGUCUUUCAAUUGUGCUGAAUUUUUCUGCUCUCGUUGUUAACAGUUUUAUACAUUUUUUUUUUAUAAAUUAUUUUAAGUUGCUCUCCUACUUCUUCUACUCACUCAUGCCUUUUUUUUUUUUAAAGAAACAAAAACUGAAAUUCAACUUUUCUUUUUUAUAUUCAUUCCUCUAUUGUCGCUCAGAGUAGCGUUUGGUAACUCCGCACUGUGACGAUCCAGUAUUAAUAAACCUUGUACUGUAUAA